AUUGAACGCUGGCGGCAUGCCUUACACAUGCAAGUCGAACGGCAGCACGGGUGCUUGCACCUGGUGGCGAGUGGCGAACGGGUGAGUAAUACAUCGGAACAUGUCCUGUAGUGGGGGAUAGCCCGGCGAAAGCCGGAUUAAUACCGCAUACGAUCCACGGAUGAAAGCGGGGGACCUUCGGGCCUCGCGCUAUAGGGUUGGCCGAUGGCUGAUUAGCUAGUUGGUGGGGUAAAGGCCUACCAAGGCGACGAUCAGUAGCUGGUCUGAGAGGACGACCAGCCACACUGGGACUGAGACACGGCCCAGACGCCUACGGGAGGCAGCAGUGGGGAAUUUUGGACAAUGGGCGAAAGCCUGAUCCAGCAAUGCCGCGUGUGUGAAGAAGGCCUUCGGGUUGUAAAGCACUUUUGUCCGGAAAGAAAUCCUUGGCUCUAAUACAGUCGGGGGAUGACGGUACCGGAAGAAUAAGCACCGGCUAACUACGU
rnacentral:rRNA from 1 species